rnacentral:lncRNA from 1 species
AGACUGCAUUUUGCCUUGCCUUGCUUUUCCUUCUCCCUUUUUUUCCUUCUCCCUUUCUUUUUCUUUCUUUCUUUCUUUCUUUCUUUCUUGCUUUCUUUCUUUCUUUCGUUCUUUCUUUCUUUCUUUCUCUGUCUUUCCUCUUUCUCUCUUUCCUUCUUUCUUUUUUUUCUUCUUUCUUUCCUUCCUUCCUUCCUUCUUUCUUUUCUUUCUUUCCAUUUUUUUUCCUCCAGAAGAAUGGAAACAAUAUUCUUUUCCGAUCAGUUCAGUAAUACAAUGUCCUUCAGUGUCUAUAUGAGCAUUUCAGUGGAGAAGAAAAGAAACUUUGCUACCUGGGAACUGAAGACUGCUUAGUGAAGACCCUGGUGUUACACAUCCAAUCGUUCACCUCCUUCCAAGACAAUGACAUUCCAGGAAACCUUCACUGCUAAGAGGAACUGAGAUCUAGAGUAUCUCCUUGAGGAAGUACAACUGUCUGUUUUCACUAAGGUGGGGAGCAGUAUGUGUCCAGAGCUCUAGAGGGACCGAAAGGCCAAGUGUCCAUGGUGGCAAGAGAAUCCA